rnacentral:rRNA from 1 species
GAAUCAACGCUGGCGGCGUGCCUCAGACAUGCAAGUCGAACGAGAACGUCCCCGUUCGGGGGAGUGGAUAGUGGCGCACGGGUGAGUAACACGUGGGUUAAUUUACCUUUGGGUGGGGAACAACAGACCGGAAACGGCUGCUAAUACCGCAUAAUGCAGCGGCUCCUCAUGGAGACAGUUUGUUAAAGGCGGGGGAUCGCAAGACCUCGCGCCUGAAGAGAACGCCCGCGGCA